AGGGAGCGUCCGCGGCCCGCGCAGAGCCGCGCACCAAGCGGAUGGCGUGGACGCGGCCGGGCCCCGCGCGUGGGCUGCCAGAGCGUGAGACACGCCAGGCGGGUGCUUUAGCCCGCGUGCAGGAAGGCGCGCGUGGGCGUAUCCCCCGGGCCCACGCGUGUCCCCCUGAAUCAGUGUUUCGGCUCUGUUCCAGGACGACGACUUCUGAAAGCGAGCCAAGGAGAGACACAACACCAGCAUCAGGAAAGGCAACAGAUUGCUUCUGUCAUAUCACUUUGCUGUUUUCGAGUGUACUUAAAGGAUUAUGACUGAUAAGGCUGUCUUGCUGGAGAAUGUUGACACAGACUCCCAGUUCGUAUUGGACUCCUGACUGCCCAUGGAAGGAGGUGAUUCGGAAGACAGGGAGUGAGAGGAAUCUAAUAGCCCAUUAAAACUUCAAAACAAAGCAGUGGACUCCAGCAGUGUUUCUACCUCGAAGACAGAGCAUGGGAACAAAUAUUUGAGCCCGAACAGCUCAUCUUGCAGUUGUCUUAAAAGUACAAGGAGACCAGAGGGAGCCUAAGAAUCAAGAGAUUGGCCGCAGGUCAAACUAUGGUUAUCAGCUUCAGGUGGACUGCUUUCAAGGCCCAUGGGCUUUGCUUACUACUCCAAAAUACUAGUGUGGCUGAGUAACGGAGUGAUUAAUUUCACUUGCAGUGCCUUCCUUCCCGAGCCGAAGUGCUUCUGUAGAGACUAAUUCAGUGAAACCUGUUUAGGGGAUCAUCCCUGCUAGACAGACAGCUGCGAGGGACAUCCGCUUCCCAGCAUGGAUUUCAGAUGAUGACCAAUCAGGAGCCGGAGCUAAGGAACACCUGUCAGCGAUGUUUGCUGCAAGGAGACCAGCUCUUUAAUCGAAUUUCAUUGUACUUCAGAAAAAGGUUUAUUUUAAAUGUGGCGUCUGCUUUUAUGAUUCAUCCUUCUCAGCUGAGACAUCACUUUGGGGCUUAUUUAUGAUGUUGUUCUAGGGUGAAACAAGAAACUGCAAGAAAGUAUUUCAAAAGGCGGCCUUUCCCAGACAUUCAAUUAGCAACCUUGUCAUGUGGGAAAAUAAAAAAGAAAUGGAAAACUUUA